AUUGAACGCUGGCGGUAGGCCUAACACAUGCAAGUCGAACGGCAGCACAGUACUAGCUUGCUCUUACGGGUGGCGAGUGGCGGACGGGUGAGGAAUACAUCGGAAUCUACUUUUUCGUGGGUGAUAACGUAGGGAAACUUACGCUAAUACCGCAUACGACCUACGGGUGAAAGCAGGGGAUCUUCGGACCUUGCGCGAUUGAAUGAGCCGAUGUCGGAUUAGCUAGUUGGCGGGGUAAAGGCCCACCAAGGCGACGAUCCGUAGCUGGUCUGAGAGGAUGAUCAGCCACACUGGAACUGAGACACGGUCCAGACUCCUACGGGAGGCAGCAGUGGGGAAUAUUGGACAAUGGGCGCAAGCCUGAUCCAGCCAUACCGCGUGGGUGAAGAAGGCCUUCGGGUUGUAAAGCACUUUUGUUGGGAAAGAAAAGCAGCAGGUUAAUACCCCGCUGUUCUGACGGUACCAAAAGAAUAAGCACCGGCUAACUUCGUG
rnacentral:rRNA from 1 species